rnacentral:rRNA from 1 species
AGAGUUUGAUCCUGGCUCAGGAUGAACGCUGGCGGCGUGCCUAAUACAUGCAAGUCGAGCGAACGGACGAGAAGCUUGCUUCUCUGAUGUUAGCGGCGGACGGGUGAGUAACACGUGGAUAACCUACCUAUAAGACUGGGAUAACUUCGGGAAACCGGAGCUAAUACCGGAUAAUAUUUUGAACCGCAUGGUUCAAAAGUGAAAGACGGUCUUGCUGUCACUUAUAGAUGGAUCCGCGCUGCAUUAGCUAGUUGGUAAGGUAACGGCUUACCAAGGCAACGAUGCAUAGCCGACCUGAGAGGGUGAUCGGCCACACUGGAACUGAGACACGGUCCAGACUCCUACGGGAGGCAGCAGUAGGGAAUCUUCCGCAAUGGGCGAAAGCCUGACGGAGCAACGCCGCGUGAGUGAUGAAGGUCUUCGGAUCGUAAAACUCUGUUAUUAGGGAAGAACAUAUGUGUAAGUAACUGUGCACAUCUUGACGGUACCUAAUCAGAAAGCCACGGCUAACUACGUGCCAGCAGCCGCGGUAAUACGUAGGUGGCAAGCGUUAUCCGGAAUUAUUGGGCGUAAAGCGCGCGUAGGCGGUUUUUUAAGUCUGAUGUGAAAGCCCACGGCUCAACCGUGGAGGGUCAUUGGAAACUGGAAAACUUGAGUGCAGAAGAGGAAAGUGGAAUUCCAUGUGUAGCGGUGAAAUGCGCAGAGAUAUGGAGGAACACCAGUGGCGAAGGCGACUUUCUGGUCUGUAACUGACGCUGAUGUGCGAAAGCGUGGGGAUCAAACAGGAUUAGAUACCCUGGUAGUCCACGCCGUAAACGAUGAGUGCUAAGUGUUAGGGGGUUUCCGCCCCUUAGUGCUGCAGCUAACGCAUUAAGCACUCCGCCUGGGGAGUACGACCGCAAGGUUGAAACUCAAAGGAAUUGACGGGGACCCGCACAAGCGGUGGAGCAUGUGGUUUAAUUCGAAGCAACGCGAAGAACCUUACCAAAUCUUGACAUCCUUUGACAACUCUAGAGAUAGAGCCUUCCCCUUCGGGGGACAAAGUGACAGGUGGUGCAUGGUUGUCGUCAGCUCGUGUCGUGAGAUGUUGGGUUAAGUCCCGCAACGAGCGCAACCCUUAAGCUUAGUUGCCAUCAUUAAGUUGGGCACUCUAAGUUGACUGCCGGUGACAAACCGGAGGAAGGUGGGGAUGACGUCAAAUCAUCAUGCCCCUUAUGAUUUGGGCUACACACGUGCUACAAUGGACAAUACAAAGGGCAGCGAAACCGCGAGGUCAAGCAAAUCCCAUAAAGUUGUUCUCAGUUCGGAUUGUAGUCUGCAACUCGACUACAUGAAGCUGGAAUCGCUAGUAAUCGUAGAUCAGCAUGCUACGGUGAAUACGUUCCCGGGUCUUGUACACACCGCCCGUCACACCACGAGAGUUUGUAACACCCGAAGCCGGUGGAGUAACCUUUUAGGAGCUAGCCGUCGAAGGUGGGACAAAUGAUUGGGGUGAAGUCGUAACAAGGUAGCCGUAUCGGAAGGUGCGG